rnacentral:sRNA from 1 species
CAGAAGAAAGAAAACCAAAAC